AACGCGUUAAAUCGACGCUGGGAGUACGGCCGCAAGGUUAAACUCAAAUGAAUUGACGGGGCCCGCACAAGCGGUGGAGCAUGUGGUUUAAUUCGAUGCAACGCGAAGAACCUUACCUACUCUUGACAUCCAGAGAGUUUAGCAGAGAUGCUUUAGUGCCUUCGGGAACUCUGAGACAGGUGCUGCAUGGCUGUCGUCAGCUCGUGUUGUGAAAUGUUGGGUUAAGUCCCGCAACGAGCGCAACCCUUAUCCUUUGUUGCCAGCACAUUAUGGUGGGAACUCAAAGGAGACUGCCGGUGAUAAACCGGAGGAAGGUGGGGAUGACGUCAAGUCAUCAUGGCCCUUACGAGUAGGGCUACACACGUGCUACAAUGGCGUAUACAAAGAGAAGCGACCUCGCGAGAGCAAGCGGAACUCAUAAAGUACGUCGUAGUCCGGAUUGGAGUCUGCAACUCGACUCCAUGAAGUCGGAAUCGCUAGUAAUCGUAGAUCAGAAUGCUACGGUGAAUACGUUCCCGGGCCUUGUACACACCGCCCGUCACACCAUGGGAGUGGGUUGCAAAAGAAGUAGGUAGCUUAACCUUCGGGAGGGCGCUUACCACUUUGUGAUUCAUGACUGGGGUGAAGUCGUAACAAGGUAACCA
rnacentral:rRNA from 1 species